rnacentral:tRNA from 1 species
GGGGAUUUGGCUCAGCGGUAGAGCACUUGCCUAGGAAGCGCAAGGCCCUGGGUUCGGUCCCCAGCUCCA